ACAAAAACAGAGUAAAACUUUAACUAAACUGUAAGUCAAAUUUUGUGGUUAUGAAGUUGUUUUCAAAAAAUUAACCAGAACUCUAAAAGUAUACAUAGAAAUGUAAUUCCAAAUUCAAAUCCAAAUCAAACGAAUUCUAUCGAUCAUGCGCUUUUUCUACAAUAUGAAAGUUUUUCUCUAUAAUUUUUGGAUUUAAUUUUGCAAAAAACUUUCGAAAAUUACAAAAAGAAUAUACGUUUGAAAAAAAAGUGAGUCCCCAAAACGGCAACGGCACCAACCUUAAGAACCAAAAAACCAAGCAAUGACUUAAAAAAAAAAACAAAACACAAAAAAAAAUGGUUUAAGAAGAGAGCUAGCUAUCCAUAUCCAUGUCCAUAUCCAUAUCCAGUGAGAGCGAACCGAAGCGAACUUCAUUUUCUAAAAAAGCUGAAAAGAGUGCCGAGCCGAGUAUAGUGGUGCAAUUAUGUUGAAAAAGCAACAAAAACAACAACAACAACAAUAAAUGAGAAUAUAUCCAAUCUCUAGAAAUAUUUGGGUGAAUAAACCCAUCUUUUUCGCAUGGAGUUUGUGUGUUGCACUUUACGAAUAUUUUAGUACGGCAGGUCUGGAUUUUGUUUUCCGUUUUGGCGUUCGUUUUGGAUUUUGAAGUCGUCGUCGUUCGGUCGGUCGGUACUCGGUAUACCUACUUGGUCCGGUCGUUCGGAAAGUUUGUUAACCUUUGACUCUGAUUCGUUGAUAAAAAGAAAGAAAGAACUAGAGAUUGACGAAAUAGUUACCUUUGCGGUAACUCAUUUGAAACUCCCAAAAUUUGCUAUCUACGGACCAUUUACAGAAACCCGUAAGUCCGAACUUGUGCUAAAUUGCCGUUGCAAGACCGGAGUUAUGGGAAUCUGUCAAUGCAUGCAUCAUUAAUAAUAUUCAUACACCAAAUAAAUCUGCUUAAAAAUGUAUUCCUCAUAAACACCGAAAUCGUCAAGGACCAAAGAUGAAGCUGAAUGUUACAUCCUAAUGUAUUUCUAGCAAAUUGAGGUAGUAGGUUGUAUAGUAGUUCUAAGAUUAACAUUCUAUACAAUUUGCUAACUUUCUUUGCUUGACUGGUAAUGCAGCGAAUAUUAAAGUGAAGUGAAUUAAAUUUAAAAAAAAAAAUAGUUUGUACAACGUUUAAAAUGUUUGUCUGGCUGAUUCCCUGAGACCCUAACUUGUGACUUUAACAUCAGUUUCACAAGUUUUGAUCUCCGGUAUUGGCUUCAAACUUGCAAUUUUAAUUAAUUUAUAUUUUAAUAUUGUAUUUGCAUCAAAUUGGUUUAGAAUCUUUAUUGACAAAUUUAGACAAAUAAAUAAAAACAAAAGAAGUUAAAA